GAUGAACGCUGGCGGCGUGCCUAAUACAUGCAAGUCGAGCGAAUGGAUUAAGAGCUUGCUCUUAUGAAGUUAGCGGCGGACGGGUGAGUAACACGUGGGUAACCUGCCCAUAAGACUGGGAUAACUCCGGGAAACCGGGGCUAAUACCGGAUAACAUUUUGAACCGCAUGGUUCGAAAUUGAAAGGCGGCUUCGGCUGUCACUUAUGGAUGGACCCGCGUCGCAGUAGCUAGUUGGUGAGGUAACGGCUCACCAAGGCAACGAUGCGUAGCCGACCUGAGAGGGGGAUCGGCCACACUGGGACUGAGACACGGCCCAGACUCCUCCGGGAGGCAGCAGUAGGGAAUCUUCCGCAAUGGACGAAAGUCUGACGGAGCAACGCCGCGUGAGUGAUGAAGGCUUUCGGGUCGUAAAACUCUGUUGUUAGGGAAGAACAAGUGCUAGUUGAAUAAGCUGGCACCUUGACGGUACCUAACCAGAAAGCCACGGCUAACUACGUGCCAGCAGCCGCAGUAA
rnacentral:rRNA from 1 species